GGAUUGUAGUCUGCAACCCGACUACAUGAAGCUGGAAUCGCUAGUAAUCGCGGAUCAGAAUGCCGCGGUGAAUACGUUCCCGGGUCUUGUACACACCGCCCGUCACACCAUGGGAGUCGGAAAUGCCCGAAGCCGGUGACUCAACCUUUAAGGAGAGAGCCGUCGAAGGCAGGUCUGAUAACUGGGGUGAAGUCGUAACAAGGUAGC
rnacentral:rRNA from 1 species